UGGGGAAUAUUGCGCAAUGGGGGAAACCCUGACGCAGCGACGCCGCGUGAGCGAUGAAGGCCUUAGGGUUGUAAAGCUCUGUUUUAAGGGACGAAUGUUACGGGGAGUAAUAUACCCUGUAAAUGACGGUACCUUAAGAGGAAGCCCCGGCUAACUACGUGCCAGCAGCCGCGGUAAGACGUAGGGGGCGAGCGUUGUCCGGAAUUACUGGGCGUAAAGAGCACGUAGGCGGGAACUUAAGUCAGGUGUGAAGGACCGGGGCUCAACCUCGGGGGUGCACUUGAAACUGGGUUGCUUGAGGGCAGGAGAGGAAAGUAGAAUUCCUGGUGUAGCGGUGAAAUGCGUAGAAAUCAGGAGGAAUACCAGUGGCGAAGGCGACUUUCUGGACUGACCCUGAGGCUGAGGUGCGAAAGCGUGGGUAGCAAACAG
rnacentral:rRNA from 1 species